rnacentral:rRNA from 1 species
GUCGGAUCUUCAUUGUACGAGCGGCGACGGGUGAGUAACACGUGAGCAACCUGCCCCUGCACUCUGGGAUAAGCGGUGGAAACGCCGUCUAAUACCGGAUACGACCCGCCACCUCAUGGUGGAGGGUGGAAAGUUUUUCGGUCAGGGAUGGGCUCGCGGCCUAUCAGCUUGUUGGUGGGGUAACGGCCUACCAAGGCGAUUACGGGUAGCCGGCCUGAGAGGGCGACCGGCCACACUGGGACUGAGACACGGCCCAGACUCCUGCGGGAGGCAGCAGUGGGGAAUAUUGCGCAAUGGGCGAAAGCCUGACGCAGCGACGCCGCGUGGGGGAUGACGGCCUUCGGGUUGUAAACCUCUUUUACCACCAACGCAGGCUUCCAGUUCUCUGGAGGUUGACGGUAGGUGGGGAAUAAGGACCGGCUAACUACGUGCCAGCAGCCGCGGUAAUACGUAGGGUCCGAGCGUUGUCCGGAAUUAUUGGGCGUAAAGAGCUCGUAGGCGGCGUGUCGCGUCUGCUGUGAAAGACCGGGGCUUAACUCCGGUUCUGCAGUGGAUACGGGCAUGCUAGAGGUAGGUAGGGGAGACUGGAAUUCCUGGUGUAGCGGUGAAAUGCGCAGAUAUCAGGAGGAACACCGGUGGCGAAGGCGGGUCUCUGGGCCUUACCUGACGCUGAGGAGCGAAAGCAUGGGGAGCGAACAGGAUUAGAUACCCUGGUAGUCCAUGCCGUAAACGUUGGGCGCUAGGUGUGGGGACUUUUCCACGGUUUCCGCGCCGUAGCUAACGCAUUAAGCGCCCCGGCCUGGGGGAGUACGGCCGCAAGUUAAACUCAAGGAAUUGACGGGGGCCCGCACAGCGGCGGAGCAUGUUGCUGAUUCUAUCGCA